rnacentral:lncRNA from 1 species
AAAAAAUAUGCACACUGUAGAGACUAUAGUUGAAAAAAACAUUUAAUAUUAAUUACAUUAUAAAUUGGAAGUAACUUUAGUUUAAAAUAUUAGCUUCUAUGAGUUUGGUAACAUUUUCACAACAAUCAGACAUUUUUACACAUACUAUAUGAUCAGGGGGAAGCUACUAUAUAUUAGUUUCUCAUUUAAUGAUGAAUGGUGGUGACUAAUGAGGUGUAUGUAUCAGAUUGGAUUAAUGAGGAUUGAAUUUAGACCAAUGAGAGAGAAGUGGGCCUAAAAAUGACAAAAUGUUGGGUUUAACUAAGUGUGAAUGAGAAUGUGAGGAGGGAUACUAGUAAAAUAUGGGGUGAUAUUAAUAUCAAUUUGGUUCAUCAAAUCGUUGGUUCUCAAAAUAAAGAAUCGAGAAUCAAACUAAACCAAAUCAGUUUAUGGCGGAUCGGUUUUGAUUGAAACCAGAGAAGAUCAGAUAAUAUUUUUGUUUGAUUUGAAUAUUUGUUUUGGUCUGAACCGUUUACACCCAUAAUAUCCGAUGGCAAUUUUGUA